GCAGAUGCCUAGUAACAUACAAAUGGAACUGAUUGAUUUAAAAACAAAUUCAUUCUUAAAAAGAAAAUUUGAUGAGCUUUUUCAGAUCAAAAUGCAUCUGACAAUUAAUUUCUGGCAAUCAUUACCAUGUGAACAUUUUCCAGAGCUAAGAAAAUUUGCAAAAAACUAUAUAUGUCGCUUUGGAAUAACAUUCAGAUGUGAACAAGCAUUUUCAUGAAUGAAAUUGAUUAAAAGUAAAAGAAGAUCGCAAAUAACCGAUUCAAAUUUGAAGAAUUCUCUGAUGCUCUCAGUAACAAAUUUCACACCAAACAUUAAAAGACUAGCGAAAUCCAAACAGGUUCAAAAGUUUCAUUAAUGCUGUCUGGGGAUGGAUGAUGGCGGCAGGACCCGGAAACUCAGUCUAAAUCAAUGGGCACUUGAUGUAUGGACAGAUGUCAUGAUUAAAUUACUAAUUUCAUAGAGACUGGCAAUUGAGAAGCAGUUUGGAAAGCCAGGAAAUAAAAUAAAUUAUGGAUAAAAAUACAAGGAUAUUGGAGUCAACAAUAUAAUUUAACUGCAGAAGAUUAUGACGUGAAGUGGAGAAAUUUGGUGGCAACAUACAGAAAAAGCAAAGACAGGGCUAGAAAGAGUGGUGAACGUUGCAUCACCUGACUAUAUUUUCAACUUUUAGAUAAAAUAUAUGGUUAUAAAACUAAUAUAUCUCCUCCAGCACAAACACUAUGGUCUUCUCUUCCCAGCCCUGUCUACUCCCAACAACCUUCACCUAUUGGCAUAUCAAAUUCUUUUGAAAACGCUGCUAUUGCAACUACUACUUGUCACAAUUCUCCCUCAUCCUCUAAUGACCGAAGUGAUACUCCACAUCCAAAAACACCAAAACUAUCAAAAGAAGAAGCUCCAGCAUGGUUUAAAAAAUAUGUUGAAAAUAAGAUGAUAAAAAGAAUAAAGACAUUGCAGGGAGUUGCAAAAGAUGGAAGAAGAGAAACUUAUGUUUGUAAAACUGUGUUUUACCAACAUUGCAAAAGCUCAUGGACAGUAUCUUUAUUUUGAUAAAACACUUUUUUCUGUAGAUUCAAUAGAUUUCAGCUAGUAUAGAGAUAAACAUACUUGAUAUAGAAUAAAUGUUUAAUAUAAUCUAAAAGAUUUAAAUUGUAAGGUUUGUACAUCACAUAAUUCAUAAGAAGUUACCAAUUGUGUAUACUAAUAAAUAUUUUAUUAAUGUAAUGCUCAUCUGUUUGACAAACUUAGGGCAGGUAGUAGAGAGAGAUUACAAGUAAUGAAAGAGUAAGUUUUAUUACAUUACAAAAACCUACAUGUUAUGUAUUAUAAUUGUUAUAUAUAAUUAACAUAAUUUAGCAAAUGAAUUUCUCUUAACAAUUUGCCAGUAAAAAUCUAUUAGCAAUAUGUUCUCUGUUUUUUACUGCAUCAUCUCUAUUCACUUCUGGUCUUUGAGCAAAAUUUCCAGAGAGCUGCAUUCCAUGAUGAUGCAGAAUCAUUAUCUAAAAAUUUAUCAUUUUCUAAUAUACAUAAAUUAUGUAGAAUACAGGCUGUUACAAUAACUUAGGAGAUUCGAUCAACUCUGAACAUAAACAAAUGAUUUAGACAACAAUUACUUUAUUUGUAAUAAUGGUUUCUUU
rnacentral:lncRNA from 1 species